rnacentral:tRNA from 1 species
GAUAAAAUGGCUGAGUAAGUGUUAGACUGUAAAUCUAAAGACAGAGGCUGAGUCCUCUUUUUGCCA